rnacentral:rRNA from 1 species
CAGUAGCCGCGGUAAUACGUAGGGUGCAAGCGUUAAUCGGAAUUACUGGGCGUAAAGCGUGCGCAGGCGGUUAUAUAAGACAGAUGUGAAAUCCCCGGGCUUAACCUGGGAACUGCAUUUGUGACUGUAUAGCUAGAGUACGGCAGAGGGGGAUGGAAUUCCGCGUGUAGCAGUGAAAUGCGUAGAUAUGCGGAGGAACACCGAUGGCGAAGGCAAUCCCCUGGGCCUGUACUGACGCUCAUGCACGAAAGCGUGGGGAGCAAACAGGAUUAGAUACCCCUGUAGUCCCUGUCUCUUAUAC